CUACGGGGUGCUGCAGUGAGGAAUAUUGGGCAAUGGAGGCAACUCUGACCCAGCCAUGCCGCGUGCAGGAAGACGGCCCUCUGGGUUGUAAACUGCUUUUGUUUGGGAAUAAACCCUUCUACGUGUAGGAGGCUGAAGGUACCAUUCGAAUAAGGAUCGGCUAACUCCGUGCCAGCAGCCGCGGUAAUACGGAGGAUCCAAGCGUUAUCCGGAUUUAUUGGGUUUAAAGGGUCCGUAGGCGGGUCUUUAAGUCAGUGGUGAAAGCCCACAGCUCAACUGUGGAACUGCCAUUGAUACUGGAGAUCUUGAGUGUAGUAGAAGUAGGCGGAAUAGGGCAUGUAGCGGUGAAAUGCAUAGAUAUGCCCUAGAACACCGAUUGCGAAGGCAGCUUACUAUGUUACAACUGACGCUGAGGGACGAAAGCGUGGGGAGCAAACAGGAUUAGAUACCCUAGUAGUC
rnacentral:rRNA from 1 species